AGAGUUUGAUCCUGGCUCAGGACGAACGCUGGCGGCGUGCUUAACACAUGCAAGUCGAACGCUGAAGCCCAGCUUGCUGGGUGGAUGAGUGGCGAACGGGUGAGUAACACGUGAGUAACCUGCCCCUUCUUUGGGAUAACGCCCGGAAACGGGUGCUAAUACUGGAUAUUCACUGGCCUUCGCAUGGGGGUUGGUGGAAAGGUUUUUUCUGGUGGGGGAUGGGCUCGCGGCCUAUCAGCUUGUUGGUGGGGUGAUGGCCUACCAAGGCUUUGACGGGUAGCCGGCCUGAGAGGGUGACCGGUCACAUUGGGACUGAGAUACGGCCCAGACUCCUACGGGAGGCAGCAGUGGGGAAUAUUGCACAAUGGGCGAAAGCCUGAUGCAGCGACGCCGCGUGAGGGAUGACGGCCUUCGGGUUGUAAACCUCUUUCGCUCAUGGUCAAGCCGCAGCUUUGGGUUGUGGUGAGGGUAGUGGGUAAAGAAGCGCCGGCUAACUACGUG
rnacentral:rRNA from 1 species